rnacentral:rRNA from 1 species
UACAGAGGUCCCAAGCGUUGUUCGGAUUCAUUGGGCGUAAAGGGUGUGUAGGUGGCGCCGUAAGUCGGGUGUGAAAUUUCGGAGCUUAACUCGGAAAGGUCAACUGAUACUGUGCGGCUAGAGUGCGGAAGGGGCAACUGGAAUUCUUGGUGUAGCGGUGAAAUGCUUAGAUAUCGAGAGGAACACCUGCGGCGAAGGCGGGUAGCUGGGCCGACACUGACGCUGAUGCGCGAAAGCCAGGGGAGCGAACGGG